UUAGAAUUGGAGACAACAUAACUCUAACCUGCAUUGUCUUAGGAGGUGACCCCUCCCCCAGUGUUCAAUGGUUGAGAGACAAGCAUAUAAUUCAAACUGAAUCCUUCAGGCCCUUUCCUGGCAAACUUGUAAGUAAAUUAGAACUGAUUGAUAUGAACAGAAGCAAUCUAGAUACAAUUUGCAC